GGUGAGUAACACGUGGAUAACCUACCUAUAAGACUGGGAUAACUACGGGAAACCGGAGCUAAUACCGGAUAAUAUAUUGAACCGCAUGGUUCAAUAGUGAAAGACGGUUUUGCUGUCACUUAUAGAUGGAUCCGCGCCGCAUUAGCUAGUUGGUAAGGUAACGGAUUACCAAGGCAACGAUGCGUAGCCGACCUGAGAGGGUGAUCGGCCACACUGGAACUGAGACACGGUCCAG
rnacentral:rRNA from 1 species